rnacentral:rRNA from 1 species
GAUGAACGCUGGCGGCGUGCCUAAUACAUGCAAGUCGAGCGAACAGACGAGGAGCUUGCUCCUCUGACGUUAGCGGCGGACGGGUGAGUAACACGUGGAUAACCUACCUAUAAGACUGGGAUAACUUCGGGAAACCGGAGCUAAUACCGGAUAAUAUAUUGAACCGCAUGGUUCAAUAGUGAAAGACGGUUUUGCUGUCACUUAUAGAUGGAUCCGCGCCGCAUUAGCUAGUUGGUAAGGUAACGGCUUACCAAGGCGACGAUGCGUAGCCGACCUGAGAGGGUGAUCGGCCACACUGGAACUGAGACACGGUCCAGACUCCUACGGGAGGCAGCAGUAGGGAAUCUUCCGCAAUGGGCGAAAGCCUGACGGAGCCACGCCGCGUGUGUGAUGAAGGUCUUCGGAUCGUAAAACUCUGUUAUUAGGGAAGAACAAAUGUGUAAGUAACUAUGCACGUCUUGACGGUACCUAAUCAGAAAGCCACGGCUAACUACGUG